UACGGGGGGAGCAAGCGUUGUUCGGAUUUACUGGGCGUAAAGGGCGCGUAGGCGGCCACCGCAAGUCGAUUGUGAAAUCUCCGGGCUUAACUCGGAAAGGUCAACCGAUACUGCGGGGCUAGAGUGCAGAAGGGGCAACUGGAAUUCUCGGUGUAGCGGUGAAAUGCGUAGAUAUCGAGAGGAACACCUGCGGCGAAGGCGGCUCACUGGCCCGGUACUGACGCUGAGGUGCGAAAGCGUGGGGAGCAAACAGG
rnacentral:rRNA from 1 species